GACAAAUUCUGCUCGCUCUCUCGCUUGGUUCGUAUUAUAAAAAUAAAUGUGACUUUACUGCGGUCUUUUUCGGUUUAUUUAGUUUUGUGUUAAUUAUAUCCACAAAGUAUUCGAAUAAAUUGGUAAUGUAAAACUAUUCUUCGCUGUAAAUUAAUUGUGUGCUCAAUUGCGACGCCCUGUGUUGAAUUUUCCCGCGAGUACAGUAUCAUUACUGAGGGGAAAUAUAACAUUAUUCAUUUAAUUCCACAAAAGGUGAGUAAGAUAUUAAAUGUAUAAGUUGUCUUUUUAAAAUGUUUAAGCUUUCUACAUAAUGUAAAUUGAACAUUCACUAUUAAUUUCGCGACCUAUUAUCUUAAUUGUGUGUUCAUGAAGGCCUGUAACGUACUGCAGCUUCCUGCAGGCAACGUGAAACAUUGCUGAGGGAGAACUUUAUUCACAACAAAAGGAUAAAGAUGAAGAGGCGGGACUUGAGCAGCAUGUGAUGGCUGUAAUUGUAAAGAAUGGAUCUUCUUGGAGUGGAAGCCCAAAGGAUGCUGGAAUUGUUAUUGAGGCCUUAAAGGUGUUCACAGGGCAUGCUUUAUCCUUGGAUCUAUGCAUUGAAUCUCCAGUAUCCCAGGCAUCUUUUCAGGUGUUUCAGAAACUUUUCUUGGAGCUGGAUUCUUCAAAGUUUAUAAACUGAUUACAGUACAGUAAGUCUAAACUGCUGUCUGAUGUUCUGGUUGUUAAUCAAUGUAACAGAACACAAACAUGGAACAUUUCGUCGGGAAAUGUGGACGGUUUUCUUUAAAGACUGUAAAAUACUUUUUGAAGUUUACACUGUUACAAAUACAUCAUUAAAAUGAGAUGCUUUCCUGUUCUUUUGACUGCAAUAAAAUAAGAAUUGAUUCA